CUGUGGCAUGCGGAAGCGCCUGCUGCUUGUCCUUGAGGGGCAGGGCGAAGCGCUCGUUCCAGACGCGUGCCUCUGC
rnacentral:tRNA from 1 species